UUCGCCACACUCCCCAGCCUAGGGUGUCAGCCCCUGCUGCAAGCAAAAGCCAGGCAGCAUUUUUGCUGAUUAAGCCACUGGUAAAGAGAACUGAGAAGCAGUUUCAAUUUAACCACGGGGAUUAAAAGUCACCACCAACAAUUGCCCAGUUGCUAGCAUGGUGGGCAGUGGGAGGAGGGCCAAGGAGGCCAACCCCUCUGCUUUAUCUUCAUCUACUUUCUAAGGUCUGAUAGCAGUUUGGUAAUUUGGUGAGAUGAGAACACGGCUCCCUGGAACCUCUGACUCUUCAGCAGUCACCUGCUUAUCUUCUCUCUGCACAAGCCUCACUUCCCCCAGGAUCUCAGAGACUGGGGCAAAGGCUGCCUAAUUUACCAUGAGAUUCAGGCUGUUACCUUCUUAAAAGGAGGAACCCAACUUCAUAUCCCUGGCAUUUAUUACCUAACACUCUGGAAGCAAUGAAUAGAUCCCGCUCGGGUCUGUGUGCCCAUACGGCGCGGUGUGGUCCAGCCUGUGCUGAAAGAGCCUGCAACAGCUUGGUAGGUCAGCAGUUUUCCUGGGAACAAGGCAAUAUGCUGCUAAGGAUUAUCUCAUCAGCACCAGAAUAGGCUCAAGUGCCCAACUAACUAAAAAAUGUAAUUAAAACCAGAACAGUGUGUUUCCACAUGCAAAGACUAAGGGAAGUCUGUAGGGAGGUGAGCUUUCUUCAAGCAUGCCUCUUGAGGACAUAUAUUUGAACAUGCCCAAAAUAGAAAAGGCAAAUCAGAAUAUAUAUAUGCUUUAAAUAGAUGAAACUCUUGUUAUAUGCGAAAGAAAAUGGUGUUUCAGCAGUGUCUCAAUUCUCCAUUUCUUUUAGGAUGUCAAGAUGCCAUCCAUGUAAGUUUUAGAGUAACUUUAUCUUGUAUUCAACAUUGAUAAACAUUCUUUUAAAAAUACAAAAUAUUUACGUGUUAUGCUAAGUGAAAGAAAGUCUCAAAUCGGUAUACACUGUAUGAUUCCUUUUUUGUACCAUUUGGAAAGGCAAAAAUAUAAACAGUACAGAUAAGUGGUUGCCAACAUUUGGGGUAGAGGGAGCUUGAAGGUAUUCUUCAGGAUAUUAAAAUUAGUCUGUAUCUUGCCAUAGUGGUGGUUAUAAGAACCCAUGCAGGUGUAAAACUCAUUAACCUACACAUUAUAGAAGUAAAUUUUGCUGUACAGAAAAUUUUUUAAUUGGUUUAGAAAUCAUUUGAGUGUCUACUGUGUAUAUUAUGAUAGGGAGAUUCUCCUUGCUAUUAUAAUGCUGGAUAUUCAGCCUCUAGUCUUAGUCAGCAUCACUACCGCAUUAUUCCUUGAACAUCAUUAGAAGACUAUGCCAGCAUUACAAUUUCCAGCACUGUUACAACAUCAUUACUUCAGUGUCACCUCAGCUCCAUUAGUCUCUUACUUAAAUAAUAUAACUCAAGCUAGAGUAACUAAUGGUUGAUGUGAAGCAUCUACUUUUCCCAUUUUCCUGACUUUCACUCUGUUUCUCUAGCUUUUCAGCCAUGAUUUUUGAAUACACAGCUAAGCAAGAUGCAUAAAUUAAUCUUCAUUACCUUACAGCAAAAGGAUAUGCCUCACCACAAACUCUUAACUUUUCCUUCACUCUUCCUUCUUUAAAAGAAUAACUAGAAAUUGUAAGAAAUUCUUAUUUGCACAUUUUUGAGAAACAGUUUGUCCUGUAAAUGGGCAUCAAUGAUACUAUGAUAUAUGAAUGUGGAGGGCAUUAAGCUGAGUUAAAUGAGCCUGACAGAAAAAGACAAAUACUGUAUGGUGUCACUUCUGUGAGGAAUCUUUUUUUUUUUUAAGCCAAUUUCAUAUGGAUGAUAGAAUGGUGGUUGCCAGGAGGCCAGUGGAGGGGGAAAUAAGAGCUGUAGGUCAAAGGGUAUAAGCUUUCAGUUAUAAGAUGAAUAAAUUCUGAGGAUCUCAUGUACAGCAUGGUUACUAUAGUUAAUAACACAGUAUGGUAUAGUUGAAAUUUGCUCAGAAUAGAUCUUAAGCAUUUUCACCAAAAAAGAAAAAAUAAACAGUUAACCAUGUGAGGUAUUGGACGUACUAAUUAUCCUGAUCUUGGUAAUCAUUCCACGAUGUACAUGUAUAUCAAAUUGCCACACUGUAUACUUUAAAUACAUACAGUUAUAUUUAUAAUUAAUUGUUUCUUAAUGAAGUUGGAAAAAAUAAAAUCAGCUUUUCAAGUUCAAAACAAAUGUGAAGCUAUGAAUAGAGUCUGAAGGAGACUUUCAUAUACUGCUUCUGUCCUCAUUCUCUUUGUUUCUCUUACACGUUUGUGAUUUUCAAGUUGUUAAUGCAACCUAGUAUUUUAUGUACACAAUUACCAUAUCACAUCUUCAAACCCAGAGUCAAAAUCAGAGGGAAAAGACUUCUCACUUCCAUUUAUUGUAGAUCCAGAUGUCCACACUCCUAACUCCUCUACCUGAAAACACUUCUACUGUGAGCAUUUUCUAUUUUUCUGUGUGUCUGGGAGCACGAGAGUCCAUAUCUGCUCUUCCAUUUAAAGGCCAACUCCUAUAAAUCCUGCACUAAUAGCAAAUCCCCAAAGUAAACCUCAGGAAGAGAAACUCCACUCUCGUGUGUCGUAGGGUCCCACUGAGCGUCUCUGGACACCUUCCCUAACUGGCUCCUAGUGCUUAGUAUUUGAACUCUAUCCUUGAGAACAGUGUAUUCCUACCUCUUCUCAGGUGCCCUCCAUCCCCUGCUAUCUUGUUCUUUUCCAUCAUGGUGACUCCAUUUCCUCCUACAUCAGAGACUCUGAACUUUUCUUGAAGACUUGCCUGUUCUGACCCCUGUCUUCCAGUUUCUUACUCCCUGACGUGAGCAGAGUCUUUCGCUCUAUGAGUUGCCUACAUUCUCCGGAGUGCACUGAUGGGAAGUGAAUCUCAGUGUUCUUCCAAAUCCUCAGUCAUUCUCUCCAAGGGAAGAGAGAAAUCUCUGGGUAUCCUUCCAGAACUUUCUCUGUAUAUACAUGCUCUACAC